UGUUUUUGUAAUAAUGAAUGCAUGCCGC
rnacentral:sRNA from 1 species